rnacentral:misc_RNA from 1 species
AACUUUUGGCAAUGGAUCUCUUGGCUCUCGCAUCGAUGAAGAACGCAGCGAAAUGCGAUACGUAAUGUGAAUUGCAGAAUUCAGGGAAUCAUCGAAUCUUUGAACGCAUAUUGCGCUCUCUGGUAUUCCGGAGAGCAUGCUUGUUUGAGUAUCAGUAAACACCUCAAAUCCCUCUACUUGUUGGAGGAAUUUGGACUUGAGCAAUCCCAACUUUUCCAAAGAGAAGGCGGGUUGCUUGAAAUGCAGGUGCAGCUAGAUUCUUUCUUCUGAGCUAUAAGCAUACUUAUUUAAUCCCGUCAAACGGAUUAUUACUUUUGCUGCAGCUAACAUAAAGGUUGAAGAGUCGCUAUGGCUGACUGAUGCAGGAUUUAACAUGUCGCGCAAGCGAUCUGUAAACUCGAUCUCAAAUCAAGCAAGACUACCCGCUGAACUUAAGCAUAUCAAUAAGCGGAGGCU